AAACGCUUGAAGUCAGUCGCGUUUGGCGGGACUCAGCCUUGCUUUUGCUUGGUGUACUUCCUGUCAGACGGGUCAACAUCAGUUUUGACCGGUGGAUAAGGGCUUGGAGAAUGUGGCAUCUUCGGGUGUGUUAUAGCUUCAGGUCGUAUACAUCGGUUGGGACU
rnacentral:rRNA from 1 species